GAGCGUUGUCCGGAAUUACUGGGCGUAAAGGGUGCGUAGGUGGCAAUUUAAGUUGGAUGUGAAAUCCCCGGGCUUAACCUGGGUGGUGCAUUCAAAACUGGAUAGCUAGAGUGCAGGAGAGGGAAGCGGAAUUCCUAGUGUAGCGGUGAAAUGCGUAGAUAUUAGGAGGAACACCAGUGGCGAAGGCGGCUUUCUGGACUGUAACUGACACUGAGGCAACGAAAGCGGUGGGGAGAC
rnacentral:rRNA from 1 species